rnacentral:rRNA from 1 species
UACGUAGGGGGCAAGCGUUGUCCGGAUUUACUGGGCGUAAAGAGCGUGUAGGCGGCCAGAUAGGUCCGUUGUGAAACUGGAGGCUUAACCUCCAGCUGUCGAUGGAAACCAUCUGGCUAGAGUCCGGAAGAGGAGAGUGGAAUUCCUGGGAUGUAGCGGUGAAAUGCGCAGAUAUCAAGGAAGAACACCCGUGGCGGAAGGCGGCUCUCUGGGACGGUACUGACGCUGAGACGCGAAAGCGUGGGGAGCGAACAGG